rnacentral:rRNA from 1 species
AUGCUGGCCCGACGAGGAGCGGCGUGCAGUGGUGGCGGCGGCGUCCGUGGAGACGGUGGGCACGCGGAUGGAGUGGCCCGACCACGACGAGGGCGGCCGACAGGGGCUCGGUUCGAGGCGGCGCGCGGUAGUGCCGGUGUCGUGGCGGAGGCGGUGGGCACCGAGAUGGCGGCGGCAGGCUUGUUGGCUGCUCUCUCGGCCAUGGCGGUCGUCCUCCGCUCGUUGAACCGGAUGGAUCGGGCUUGCGUCGCGUGCUGCUGCGUGGGACUCCUCCUCUACGAGCCGAUCGGAGACGAGCCGAGCUGCGACGAGUGCCGAGCGCUAGCGCCAGGAGCAGCGAGAGUGGGUGCCGUGGGAUGCCAUCGAGAGACACGUGGCGCCAUCCUAGAUCGGGUGCGCACGGGAGGAGCCCUGGAGACGGUCUCCACGGAAUUUUUUUCCGCCACGCUCCUGAUAACAAAACAAAUCAAGAUGUGA